rnacentral:rRNA from 1 species
GCUGGAAUCGCUAGUAAUCGCGGAUCAGAAUGCCGCGGUGAAUACGUUCCCGGGUCUUGUACACACCGCCCGUCACACCAUGGGAGUCGGAAAUGCCCGAAGUCUGUGACCCAACCUGAGAGGGAGGGAGCAGCCGAAGGCAGGUCUGAUGACUGGGGUGAAGUCGUAACAAGGUACC